rnacentral:rRNA from 1 species
UACGAAGGGGGCUAGCGUUGUUCGGAAUUACUGGGCGUAAAGCGCGCGCAGGCGGUCUUCCAAGUCAGUGGUGAAAGCCCGGAGCUCAACUCCGGAAUUGCCAUUGAAACUGUUGGACUUGAGGAUGAGAGAGGUGAGUGGAAUUCCGAGUGUAGAGGUGAAAUUCGUAGAUAUUCGGAAGAACACCAGUGGCGAAGGCGACUCACUGGACACAUAUUGACGCUGAGGUGCGAAAGCGUGGGGAGCAAGCAGG